AAAAACAAAAAUUAAAUAUAAAUAAAUAAAUAACUGAAAAAUUAAAAUGCAAAUAAAAUAAACAGAGAACAUAUAUAGAUAAAAAUAGAAAUACUAAUGUAUAGAUUUUAUAUAAUAUUCCAAAUGCGAUAAUAUAAGAUGAGUUAUGUAAAUACGAGAAAUAUAAAAAGGAGAUAAAAUAAGAUUAAAUGGUGAGAUCAUAUAGUGGGGAUGUCAUCUUCCUGAGAGGAACCACGGAGCAUGGCUACUUCUUG
rnacentral:lncRNA from 1 species